GGAGGGGGCAAGCGUUGUUCAGAAUUACUGGGCGUAAAGGGCGCGUAGGCGGCCUGCCAAGUCAGGGGUGAAAGGCCCGGGCUCAACCCGGGAACUGCCCUUGAAACUGGCAAGCUAGAGUCCGAGAGAGGAUGGCGGAAUUCCCAGUGUAGAGGUGAAAUUCGUAGAUAUUGGGAAGAACACCGGUGGCGAAGGCGGCCAUCUGGCUCGGCACUGACGCUGAGGCGCGAAAGCGUGGGGAGCAAACAGGAUUAGAUACCCUGGUAGUCCACGCCAUAAACGAUGUGUGCUAGACGUUGGGGGUCUUAGGCCUUGGUGUCGCAGCUAACGCGUUAAGCACACCGCCUGGGGGAGUACGGCCGCAAGGUUA
rnacentral:rRNA from 1 species